UGUGACGGAGGCGCCCACGUGCUCGGCCCGCCCGUGUUACGGCCGCCUACCGGCUGCAGAGGAGAAGGGAGGAAAGGGUGGAAUCUCAACACAAGUGGUAGGCAACUUUGAAAACAAUAAAUAGAUGAAGAAUGGAGAGACCUCAAAAGGAGAGUCUGGGAACCCUAGCCAAAGACCCACAUAUGCUACCAUGUGGCCCUCCCUACUCAACCUCAGUAUAUCUUUACUGAAAAACACAUGCCAAAGAACAACACCCAGAGAGCUGGAAACACUGGAAAAGAUUUCGUGAUGCCCCCAACUUUACUUUAUAGGGAAGGCUAUAAUGUGGUAAAAUCGUGGGGACUUAAUUCCAUCAUAUGGAGGUUACUGAAUGUAUCAGAGACAGCCUGCAGUUCAUCACCACACAAAUUAGGAGCAACGUAAGAAGAGAAAAAGAAAAAGGAA
rnacentral:lncRNA from 1 species